AACGAACGCUGGCGGCAUGCCUAACACAUGCAAGUCGAACGAGACCUUCGGGUCUAGUGGCGCACGGGUGCGUAACGCGUGGGAAUCUGCCCCUUGGUUCGGAAUAACUUCGGGAAACUGAAGCUAAUACCGGAUAAUGACGUAAGUCCAAAGAUUUAUCGCCAAGGGAUGAGCCCGCGUAGGAUUAGCUAGUUGGUGGGGUAAAGGCUCACCAAGGCGACGAUCCUUAGCUGGUCUGAGAGGAUGAUCAGCCACACUGGGACUGAGACACGGCCCAGACUCCUACGGGAGGCAGCAGUGGGGGAAUAUUGGACAAUGGGCGAAAGCCUGAUCCAGCAAUGCCGCGUGAGUGAUGAAGGCCUUAGGGUUGUAAAGCUCUUUCACCCACGACGAUGAUGACGGUAGUGGGAGAAGAAGCCCCGGCUAACUUCGUGCCAGCAGCCGCGGUAAU
rnacentral:rRNA from 1 species